rnacentral:rRNA from 1 species
CAGCCGCCACGGGAAUACAGAGGGUGCGAGCGUUAAUCGGAUUUACUGGGCGUAAAGCGUGCGUAGGUGGCUUCUUAAGUCGGAUGUGAAAUCCCUGAGCUUAACUUAGGAAUUGCAUUCGAUACUGGGAAGCUAGAGUAUGGGAGAGGAUGGUAGAAUUCCAGGUGUAGCGGUGAAAUGCGUAGAGAUCUGGAGGAAUACCGAUGGCGAAGGCAGCCAUCUGGCCUAAUACUGACGCUGAGGUACGAAAGCAUGGGGAGCAAACAGGAUUAGAUACCCCAGUAGUCCCUGUCUCUUAUAC